rnacentral:rRNA from 1 species
GCUCAGAACGAACGCUGGCGGCAUGCCUAACACAUGCAAGUCGAACGAGACCUUCGGGUCUAGUGGCGCACGGGUGCGUAACGCGUGGGAAUCUGCCCUUAGGUUCGGAAUAACUCAGAGAAAUUUGAGCUAAUACCGGAUGAUGACGUAAGUCCAAAGAUUUAUCGCCUAGGGAUGAGCCCGCGUAGGAUUAGGUAGUUGGUGGGGUAAAGGCUCACCAAGCCGACGAUCCUUAGCUGGUCUGAGAGGAUGAUCAGCCACACUGGGACUGAGACACGGCCCAGACUCCUACGGGAGGCAGCAGUGGGGAAUAUUGGACAAUGGGCGAAAGCCUGAUCCAGCAAUGCCGCGUGAGUGAUGAAGGCCUUAGGGUUGUAAAGCUCUUUUACCCGGGAUGAUAAUGACAG